rnacentral:rRNA from 1 species
AUUGAACGCUGGCGGCAUGCCUUACACAUGCAAGUCGAACGGUAACAGGUCUUCGGAUGCUGACGAGUGGCGAACGGGUGAGUAAUACAUCGGAACGUGCCCGAGAGUGGGGGAUAACGAGGCGAAAGCUUUGCUAAUACCGCAUACGAUCUCAGGAUGAAAGCAGGGGACCGCAAGGCCUUGCGCUCACGGAGCGGCCGAUGGCAGAUUAGGUAGUUGGGGGGAUAAAAGCUUACCAAGCCGACGAUCUGUAGCUGGUAUGAGAGGACGACCAGCCACACUGGGACUGAGACACGGCCAAGACUCCUACGGGAGGCAGCAGUGGGGAAUUUUGGACAAUGGGCGCAAGCCUGAUCCAGCCAUGCCGCGUGCAGGAUGAAGGCCUUCGGGUUGUAAACUGCUUUUGUACGGAACGAAAAGACUCUGGUUAAUACCUGGGGUCCAUGACGGUACCGUAAGAAUAAGCACCGGCUAACUUCGUGCCAGCCGCCGCAGUAACAC